rnacentral:rRNA from 1 species
UCCUACGGGAGGCAGCAGUGGGGAAUAUUGGACAAUGGGGGAAACCCUGAUCCAGCGACGCCGCGUGAGUGAAGAAGUAUUUCGGUACGUAAAGCUCUAUCAGCAGGGAAGAAAAAAAGUCCUUUGGACUUCGGACGGUACCUGACCAAGAAGCCCCGGCUAACUACGUGCCAGCAGCCGCGGUAAUACGUAGGGGGCAAGCGUUAUCCGGAUUUACUGGGUGUAAAGGGAGCGUAGGUGGCAGGGCAAGUCAGAUGUGAAAACCCGGGGCUCAACUCCGGGAGUGCAUUUGAAACUGUCCAGCU